rnacentral:rRNA from 1 species
GACGAACGCGGCGGCGUGCCUAAUACAUGCAAGUAGAACGCUGAAGGAGGAGCUUGCUCUUCUGGAUGAGUUGCGAACGGGUGAGUAACGCGUAGGUAACCUGCCUGGUAGCGGGGGAUAACUAUUGGAAACGAUAGCUAAUACCGCAUAACAUUGACUAUUGCAUGAUAGUCAAUUAAAAGGUGCAAUUGCACCACUACCAGAUGGACCUGCGUUGUAUUAGCUAGUUGGUGGGGUAACGGCUCACCAAGGCGACGAUACAUAGCCGACCUGAGAGGGUGAUCGGCCACACUGGGACUGAGACACGGCCCAGACUCCUACGGGAGGCAGCAGUAGGGAAUCUUCGGCAAUGGACGGAAGUCUGACCGAGCAACGCCGCGUGAGUGAAGAAGGUUUUCGGAUCGUAAAGCUCUGUUGUAAGAGAAGAACGAGUGUGAGAGUGGAAAGUUCACACUGUGACGUAUCUACCAGAAAGGGAUGCA